rnacentral:rRNA from 1 species
CAAUAGCGUAUAUUAAAGUUGUUGCGGUAGAAAAGCUCGUAGUUGGAUUUCUGUUGAGAGCGACCGGUCCAUACCAUGUAUGCGUAUCUGGCUUGCUCUCGGCAUCCUCUCGAUAGACGUUACUGCGCUUGAUUGCGUGGUGCGGAUCUCGGGACUUUUACUUUGAGGAAAUUAGAGUGUUCACGGCAGGCUUUCGCCAGAAUACAUUAGCAUGGAAUAAUACUAUAGGAUCUUGGUUCUAUUUUGUUGGUUUCUAGAAUUGAGAUAAUGAUUAAUAGGGACAAUUGGGGGCAUUCGUAUCAACACGUCAGAGGUGGAAUUCUUGGAUUGUGUUGCGACGAACUACUGCGAAAGCAUUUGCCAAGGAUGUUUUCAUUGA